GGGCCAUAGCUCCAUGGCUGAGCAUCUGCUCUGCAUGCAGAAGGUCCCAAAUUCAACCCCUGGCAUCUCCA